GGACACUCCAGUGCUCAAAAGGGUAUAUUUAUUUGGAACACAGUGAAACCAGAAAUGUUUCGACCCAUAUGGUUCUUUGUCAAGCCACUGUCAUCAAGGAAUACCAUUACCAUGGUGUGUGGUCUGCAACAAUCUCUAGGUAGGUGGUAAGUGUCAAAGUAACAUCCACAUGAUUGCCAGGACCCAAAGUUUCCCAGCAGAGCAUUGCC